rnacentral:rRNA from 1 species
AUUGAACGCUGGCGGCAGGCUUAACACAUGCAAGUCGAGCGGGGUGAUGGUGCUUGCACUAUCACUUAGCGGCGGACGGGUGAGUAAUGCUUAGGAAUCUGCCUAUUAGUGGGGGACAACAUCUCGAAAGGGAUGCUAAUACCGCAUACGUCCUACGGGAGAAAGCAGGGGAUCACUUGUGACCUUGCGCUAAUCGAUGAGCCUAAGUCGGAUUAGCUAGUUGGGGGGGUAAGGGCCUACCAAGGCGACGAUCUGUUGCGGGUCUGAGAGGAUGAUCCGCCACACUGGGACUGAGACACGGCCCAGACUCCUACGGGAGGCAGCAGUGGGGAAUAUUGGACAAUGGGGGGAACCCUGAUCCAGCCAUGCCGCGUGUGUGAAGAAGGCCUUAUGGUUGUAAAGCACUUUAAGCGAGGAGGAGGCUCUUUUGGUUAAUACCCAAGAUGAGUGGACGUUACUCGCAGAAUAAGCACCGGCUAACUCUGUGCCAGCCGCCGCAGUAA